CCUACGGGAGGCAGCAGUGGGGAAUAUUGCACAAUGGGGGAAACCCUGAUGCAGCGACGCCGCGUGAGUGAAGAAGUAUUUCGGUAUGUAAAGCUCUAUCAGCAGGGAAGAAAAUGACGGUACCUGACUAAGAAGCCCCGGCUAACUACGUGCCAGCAGCCGCGGUAAUACGUAGGGGGCAAGCGUUAUCCGGAUUUACUGGGUGUAAAGGGGGCGUAGGUGGCAUGGUAAGCCAGAAGUGAAAGCCCAGGGCUCAACUCUGUGGAUUGCUUUUGGAACUAUCAAGCUAGAGUGCUGGAGGGGUAAGCGGAAUUGCGAGUGUAGCGGUGAAAUGCGUAGAUAUUAGGAGGAACACCGGUGGCGAAGGCGGCUUACUGGACAGAAACUGACACUGAGGCUCGAAAGCGUGGGGAGCAAACAGGAUUAGAUACCCUGUAGUC
rnacentral:rRNA from 1 species